UUCUGAACUCGACAUCCAGCAUCACAACCGGAAGAUGGUCCAGAGCAUGUCCUUCCUGAUGACAUCGUGCAGGUCGUGAGCGAUGGCAAGCUACAAUUGGUCGGGCACCUACGAGGAGUCUGUCAUGGGAUGGGUCUCAGCCAAGUCACGGCAAGAAUGGCAAAGGCGCAGGAUUGAGAAAUUGUUCCACCACAGGACUAUCAGGCUAGUUUCCACCACAAUCACCCAUCCUAACAGACGGUGGGAAACCACCUCAGCAAAGCUCAUCCGUUCAGAUGUUGCUGAGUCAGUUUUGGGGUCAUGACAUCAUCAUCAUAAGAUGGGGAAGCUGGUGAGCGGUGACCACAGGCAGCGACAGAAGAGGUGGUGCCUGUUCGUCGUGGUUUGCAGCUGCUGGUUCUUGGCAAAAAAAAAUUGUGCUGUGGAGUUGCCUCAGGGAAUAAUUUGCUCAAAUGUUGAAAGGAAGAACAAAUUCAAGAGGUUUUAAAAAAGGCAGUAAGUAAGAUUUAUAUUGUCGCAUUGCACCAGAUGACCAUAAAACACCUGCAGGAGGUUGAUAGCAUUGUUAAUUGUCCAGGUGCUGAGGUUUUCUGGCUUUCCAAACUGUCUUUCCGGCUUGUGGGCUGUUUUGGAGCAAAAUUUCCACACCCAGAGUGAAGUCAUGCUGAUGUUGAAAUGCCAGCUGGUUAUGAACACACAAAGAUGACUUACCCUCUGGAGUCCUGAGUAUUUUAUAUUUACAGUAACACAACUUAAUUUAUAUUUCACAUAGAGGUGAGCUGAGAAAAACUGUAGAAAGUGCCAGUGUCGGCUUUCACAAAGUACUUCAAUUAUCUCUGCAGACGGUAAUACAUAUUUUAAAAAGGAAAUAUUUUAAAACACUGAAUUAUUAAUACUUUCAGUAAUUUACAGGCAUGCAUUGUAAUUUGACAGACUGUACCAUAGUUGUAUUUCUUCUACUUUUAUACAUAGUGAAACAAUAUUGUUCUUUACAACCUACAAUGAAUAAAAGAUUUUUUUCUUUGUAAUUUAGGUUCUUGGUAAAACGAUUAGACAAUGUUGCCAACUUUGACCGCAAGGACAGUUUAAAAAGUUCUAAAAAAAAAAAAAAAGACAAAAAUGAAUGCAUAAAUGUAAUUUUACCCUGCAGCAAAUAUGAUUUGACAUCUGAUCUGGCAAAUCUUGAAUAACAACGGUGUGAGCUUACAGGUGUUCUUCUAUUGUUCUAUCACAAAGCCUAAUUUCUCUGUCAAGUUGUGUGGUUUAAAGCUAAUCAUUAGUCUUUUUUUACUUUAUUUACACAGGUACAUUUUUUGACCUUCAAAUAACACUAAUGAAAAUUCUGCAUAAACACCAGUGAAGCGCCCUUUGGCCUGAAUGACUGAAUGAAUUUGUUCUUCCUCUUUGUCUGUGUAGAUAAAGCACAUUUCCUGUAUGUCAAUAAUCAAAGUAAUUAUAUCAACUUAAAAAAAAAACGUUAACUUGCAAUUCUGUUAAAUCGUCUUGUUUUCAUUUUAUAAUGUAAGGCCAUGAAAUACACUCAGCACAUUGAUGACUAGCAGUACUUCAUGUGUCUGUGGCAUACAGGAACACACACCAAUGACCUGUCUGUUAAUAACUGUCACAAAAUUGAGGGCUGCAACUAACAAUUAUGUUCAUUGUCCAUUAAUCAUUUGUUAAUUGAAUGUAUGAAUAUAUUGAAGUUUACCAUCAGAAAGCACAACUUGACGUGAUCAGAUGUAUUGAUUUGUUUGGCCAACAGUCCAAAACUCAAAAGAUGUUUGCUAUCACAGGAGACAAAUAAAAGCAGAAAACCCUCACAGCAUAGAAGUUGGAACUAGUGAAUGUUUGGCAAUUGCAGAUUUUUUUUGUCCAUCAGCUUCCUCCAAGGACAGUUAAUGCACUUAACCAAGCAACAUUAAAACAAAUAUAAUUUUAAGUAUUUUCAUAUACACCCUCAUAUAGCAUAGCUUUCAUUUAAUGUUCUUCACAGAAAAAAAAUAACUGAAUUGAUUUUAUGUGAAGAACUGGGACUAUAGGUUUCAUGGUUGAUCAAUAAAGCGUUGAUCAUUAAAUUUCUGGCUGAGUGUGACUGCUGUGUAACACUGCAGUGUUUAUAAACUAUUAACAGGUCAUAAUUUAUGGGUUGAGUGAGUUUCAUGACCCUCAGGGUGUAAAGCCACAUUGUUAAAUUUUCGAAAUGUGGUUAUCAGUGAGAACACGAAUCAUUCCUGUGAGAUUUACUUUUCCCAAACACAUUUUUCCCCUCCUAGGAAUAGUGAUUUUAUGUUUGUCCUGAGAUGAACCGAAUUUUCUGUCUGACAAAAAACUGGUUUCCAGGAUCAAAAGAAUGACAUCAAGGUUGUUUUUUUUUGCGUUUUGUGUAGAUCGAUGCUCUGUCUGCAGCACAGUUAAUCCUUUCAACAGAGUGAGAGAAAAUGUAUGAAGCAGCACACCACAUUUUGGCUUCAGUGGUCACUGAGACCAUGCAGAUUUUAACCUUUACUAUCCACAUAAAGCACAGAAAACAUCCUAACCAAUAAUGACACAUUUUUUUCACCUUUUAUUUAUUCAGAGGAGUUUUACUGAGAGCGGGAACGCCAUGAUCACAUUCACACAGUUACAUAUUCACACCUGGAAGCCGCCCAGUACAACCGCAGUCUGAUCCACUGGCCACGGAGCAGCUCCACUGGAGCCGUUGGGCUUAAGGGCCUUGCUCAGGGGCACCACAGUGGUGGUAAUGUUCAAUCAAUCGAUUAAACUGACACUCUUCCAGUCACAAGCUCACUUCUCAUCACCCACCACUACCCAUUUUUUUGGUCAGGUGAUCUAUUCGAGAGACUUCUUGUAAACAAUACAAGUCACCUUGAAAUGGUGAACUUGUUUAUCAGACUUGAACAAGUCCAGUAAUUUAGCUGUUUUUGUUUUAGCACUCCCACAUGGACAACACACCAGACCUAAUGUGCAUUAAUGUGAACAUGACCUGAGGCAGAAAGGAAGGGAAGACAUGAGGACAAACAAUACUGAUGGAGAUCAGGCUCUGUACAGUUACAACAUUUGGUGGACUGCAGUGCAAGUGACCCUUCUAGGACAGAACGACCUGGCCACUAGCCUUCAGAUCAUUAGAGUCUGAGAUUUAAGAGCUUGUCUGUGUUCUUUUUAAGACAUUGUUGUGUUAUCACCAAAUCUCAAAGGUAGAAGCCUGAAAAAAGACAGAGAAGAGAUCGAGAGUGCAAGAAAAAAGGAAGAAAGGCAGACCGUGGGAACUAGAGAGAGAGGGACAAAGAGAGAACAGGAAAGAGCGUGUGUGAAAGAGAGCAAGAUGGAGAGAGUCAGGGAGAGAGAGAGAGAAAGAGGAGGGGAGAUAUAUUUGUCUGCCUAUAAAGCUCAGCAUGCUUCUCGUUUUUGAUUUCAGAGCUUGCCGUGUAAAGUUUAGCAGAAGUGAAUCCUGAUUGUAAGAAAUGAUGACAAUACACCAAUAAAACAUCUCAAACCGAG